rnacentral:ncRNA from 1 species
UGUCACGCCAGUGGCAUCGCCGGGUAGCUAAGUGCGGAAGAGAUAACCGCUGAAAGCAUCUAAGCGGGAAACUCGCCUCAAGAUGAGACUUCCCGGGGACUUGAUCCCCCUGAAGGGUCGUGGAAGACCACCACGUUGAUAGGCCGGAUGUGGAAAGGCAGUAAUGCCCUGAGCUAACCGGUACUAAUUGCCCGUGCGGCUUGACCCU